ACUAACCUCUUAUUGACGAUUUACUUCAUUUCUCAUUAUAAUAUUAUCCUCAGGAGGUGGCGCAUCUGCUUGGUAACCAGUGCAUGCCUGGGGAGUCCUGUGUUGUGGAGCCCUUUACCCAUUUCCUUGGCCAGUUUCCAAUGUGCUCUUGACUUACUUGGAACAGAAAGGGAAGAAUCUUGGAUUGUUACCCUUUGGAAGCUCAACUAUCUAAAUUAUCUCUGAGGGAAGAUAAAACCAGCCUCUUUGAAAUCAGAACCUGGAUUUUCUGUUCUUUUGAUGUGUAAACACACAGUCAGAUAGUUCCCCAAAUCCUUCCUUAGGCAUCUUUAGGGAAGGAGGGAAAGUUCCUUGUCCUGGAAUGUAACGCUUUGACUCCAGGUAAGAUAAGUUUUAUAAGCAAGGCAGUAAACAAACAUUCUCAUCUUCAUAGUAGAUCAGUGUCCUGCAGGAACACAGGAAUACAGGGAAAAUUAAU
rnacentral:lncRNA from 12 species